rnacentral:rRNA from 1 species
AUUGAACGCUGGCGGCAGGCCUAACACAUGCAAGUCGAACGAGUGGCGGACGGGUGAGUAAUGUUUGGGAAACUGCCUUAUGGAGGGGGAUAACUACGGGAAACGGUAGCUAAUACCGCAUACCAUCGGAUGUGCCCAGAUGGGAUUAGCUAGUGGGUGGGGUAAAGGCUCACCAAGGCGACGAUCCCUAGCUGGUCUGAGAGGAUGACCAGCCACACUGGGACUGAGAAACGGCCCAGACUCCUACGGGAGGCAGCAGUGGGGAAUAUUGCGCAAUGGGGGCAAGCCUGAUGCAGCCAUGCCGCGUGAAUGAAGAAGGCCUUCGGGUUGUAAAGUUCUUUCGGUAGGGAGGCGUUAACUACAGAAGAAGCACCGGCUAACUCCGUGCCAGCAGCCGCGGUAAUUC